rnacentral:rRNA from 1 species
ACGGGGGGAGCAAGCGUUGUUCGGAUUUACUGGGCGUAAAGGGCGCGUAGGCGGUCAGUGCAAGUCAGUUGUGAAAUCUCCGGGCUUAACUCGGAAAGGUCAACUGAUACUGCUCGACUAGAGUGCGGAAGGGGCAACUGGAAUUCUUGGUGUAGCGGUGAAAUGCGUAGAUAUCAAGAGGAACACCUGCGGCGAAGGCGGGUUGCUGGGCCGACACUGACGCUGAGGCGCGAAAGCUAGGGGAGCGAACGGGAUUAGAUACCCCGGUAGUCCUAGCCUUAAACGAUGAAUGCUUGGUGUCUGGGGUUAUAAAGUCCCCGGGUGCCGUCGCUAACGCUUUAAGCAUUCCGCCUGGGGAGUACGGUCGCAAGACUG